rnacentral:rRNA from 1 species
AAUAUUGGACAAUGGGCGCAAGCCUGAUCCAGCCAUUCCGCGUGAGUGAAGAAGGCCUUCGGGUUGUAAAGCUCUUUUGUCCGGAACGAAACGGUGGACGUGAAUAUCGUCCGCUACUGACGGUACCGGAAGAAUAAGCACCGGCUAACUACGUGCCAGCAGCCGCGGUAAUACGUAGGGGGCGAGCGUUGUCCGAAGUUACUAGGCGUAAAGCGCGCGUAGGCGGGGGGUUAAGUGAGAGGUGAAAGGCUGGGGCUCAACCUCAUGCAGUGCCUCUCAUACUGGCCUUCUUGAGGGCGGUAGGGAGAAGUGGAAUGGCUGGUGUAGCGGUGAAAUGCGUAGAUAUCAGUCGGAACACCGGUGGCGAAGGCGGCUUCUUGGGCCGUUCCUGACGCUGAGGCGCGAAAGCUGGGGGAGCGAAC